rnacentral:lncRNA from 10 species
GAAAACUCUGGCGCUUCUAAAGGGAACUCCACCCAAGCCCAGCUCCAGCAGGAAAUACCAAAAACUGCCCCUCUGUAGUUUGGGUCAUGGCACUCUUGCAUGAAGGAAAGGAGUAACAACUAAACCGGAGAUUUUUACUUCAGUGAUGGUUGAAGCGGCACAUUCCACAAGUGGGUAGAGACACAAGCAGCUGGACGUCAAGAGGAGCACACGGGCAGAACAUACUGGCAGGCUCCAGCAGACCCUGGCAGGCCAUCCACCGGUGGAACAAGGAAGCCAGAGGAAUUUGGCCGGGGUGGUUGGAGUUGAGUCUGGCUACUGAGCAACAGACUCCAGGGAAAACCACCUUCCCACUCUGUCCCCCUUCUGGCUCCCCAUCCAUCUGCUGAGAGCUACUUCCACCAUUCAAUAAAACCCUGCACUCAUUCUCCAUGUAUUUUUGUAUGUAGGAUAAAAUUCAAAACACUUAACUGUGCCCACAUGUGAUGCAAUUUUUCCGAUACACUAAGGCAAGAACCCCAAGACGAAAAGCCCUCUGUCCUUGCAAUAAGGCAGAGUGUCUAAUUGAGCUGAUUAACACAAGCCGCCUACAGAUAGCAAAACUAAAAGAGCACACUGUAACACAUGCCCCACUGGGGCUUCAGGAGCUGUAAACAUUCACCCCCAGACGCUGCCGUGGGGUCAGAGCCCCACAACCUGCUCAUCUGCCUGCUCCCCCUAGAGGUUUGAGCAGCGGGGGGCACUGAAGAAGCGAGUCACAGCCCCAUGGCAUGCUCUGCGAGGGGGACAAGGG